GAUGAACGCUGGCGGCGUGCCUAAUACAUGCAAGUCGAGCGAACAGACGAGGAGCUUGCUCCUCUGACGUUAGCGGCGGACGGGUGAGUAACACGUGGAUAACCUACCUAUAAUACUGGGAUAACUUCGGGAAACCGAAGCUAAUACCGGAUCAUAUAUUGAACCGCAUGGUUCAAUAGUUCAAGACGGUUUUGCUGUCACUUAUAGAUGGAUCCGCGCCGCAUUAGCUAGUUGGUAAGGUAACGGCUUACCAAGGCAACGAUGCGUAGCCGACCUGAGAGGGUGAUCGGCCACACUGGAACUGAGACACGGUCCAGACUCCUACGGGAGGCAGCAGUAGGGAAUCUUGCGCAAUGGGCGAAAGCCUGACGGAGCAACGCCGCGUGAGUGAUGAAGGUCUUCGGAUCGUAAAACUCUGUUAUUAGGGAAGAACAAAUGUGGAAGUAAAUAUGCACGUCUUGACGGUACCUAAUCAGAAAGCCACGGCUAACUACGUG
rnacentral:rRNA from 1 species